rnacentral:rRNA from 1 species
GAGCACGUAGGUGGGUUUGUAAGUCAGAUGUGAAAGCCUUCUGUUCAACGGAAGAAUUGCAUCUGAAACUGCUAAUCUUGAGUAUAGGAGGGGAGAAUGGAACUUCUGGUGGAGCGGUGAAAUGCGUAGAUAUCAGAAGGAACGCCGGCGGCGAAAGCGAUUCUCUGGCCUAUUACUGACACUCAGUGUGCGAAAGCUAGGGGAGCAAACGGGAUUAGAUACCCCGGUAGUCCUAGCCGUAAACGAUGGGCACUAAGUAGAGGGAAUUACCGAUGUUCUCUCUGCCGUAGCUAACGCAUUAAGUGCCCCGCCUGGGGAGUACGGCCGCAAGGCUAAAACUCAAAAGAAUUGACGGGGGCUCGCACAAGCGGUGGAGCAUGUGGCUUAAUUCGAUGCAACGCGAAAAACCUUACCGGGGCUUGACAUGAUAGAAGUAGGAACCCGAAAGGGGGACGAGCGGUAUCCAGUCCGUAGCUAUUACAGGUGUUGCAUGGCUGUCGUCAGCUCGUGUCGUGAGACGUUGGGUUAAGUCCCCUAACGAGCGAAACCCUUGUUUUUAGUUACCAGCGGGUUAUGCCGGGUACUCUAGAAAGACUGCCGUCGUCAAGACGGAGGAAGGUGGGGAUGACGUCAAGUCAUCAUGGCCCUUAUGCCCCGGGCUGCACACGUGCUACAAUGGUCGGUACAAACGGAAGCGAAGCCGAGAGGUGAAGCGAAUCC